UACGAAGGGGGCUAGCGUUGCUCGGAAUCACUGGGCGUAAAGCGCACGUAGGCGGAUUGCUAAGUCAGGGGUGAAAUCCUGGAGCUCAACUCCAGAACUGCCUUUGAUACUGGCGAUCUUGAGUCCGGGAGAGGUGAGUGGAACUGCGAGUGUAGAGGUGAAAUUCGUAGAUAUUCGCAAGAACACCAGUGGCGAAGGCGGCUCACUGGCCCGAUACUGACGCUGAGGCACGAAAGCCAGGGGAGGCAAACGGG
rnacentral:rRNA from 1 species